rnacentral:rRNA from 1 species
AUUGAACGCUGGCGGCAUGCUUUACACAUGCAAGUCGAACGGUAACAGGGUGCUUGCACCGCUGACGAGUGGCGAACGGGUGAGUAAUGCGUCGGAACGUGCCGAGUAGUGGGGGAUAACGCAGCGAAAGUUGUGCUAAUACCGCAUACGUACUGAGGUAGAAAGUGGGGGACCUUCGGGCCUCACGCUAUUCGAGCGGCCGACGUCUGAUUAGCUAGUAGGUGAGGUAAAGGCUCACCUAGGCGACGGUCAGUAGCGGGUCUGAGAGGAUGGUCCGCCACACUGGGACUGAGACACGGCCCAGACUCCUACGGGAGGCAGCAGUGGGGAAUUUUGGACAAUGGGCGAAAGCCUGAUCCAGCCAUGCCGCGUGUCUGAAGAAGGCCUUCGGGUUGUAAAGGACUUUUGUCGGGGAGGAAAUCCCCAGCGUUAAUACCGCUGGGGGAUGACAGUACCUGAAGAAUAAGCACCGGCUAAUUACGUGCCAGCCGCCGCAGUAACAC